AUGAACGCUGGCGGCGUGCCUAAUACAUGCAAGUCGAACGAGGUGCUUUUGUAGCAAUACGAGAGUAUCCUAGUGGCGAACGGGUGAGUAACGCGUUGGUGACCUACCCCAAAGUGUGGGAUAACAGUCCGAAAGGAUUGCUAAUACCGCAUGUGGUCUUCGGAUUUAGAAACUGAUGACUAAAGGAGCAAUUCGCUUUGGGAGGGACCUGCGUCCCAUCAGCUAGUUGGUGAGGUAAUGGCUCACCAAGGCUACGACGGGUAGGGGACCUGAGAGGGUGACCCCCCACAAUGGAACUGAAACACGGUCCAUACACCUACGGGUGGCGGCAGUAGGGAAUAUUGGUUAAUCUGGGAAACCGGGAACCAGCAACGCCGCGUACACGAUGAAGGCCUUCGGGUUGUAAAGUGCUUUUUGAAAGGAUGAGGAAGGACAGUACUUUCAGAAUAAGCUUCGGCUAACUACGU
rnacentral:rRNA from 1 species